GCCCGAAAGGAGGAGGCUUCCCCGCCGCCACUGCUGGCCAGUGCCGACCCGGCCGGGCGUCCCCAGCACCACGGGGGAAGCCGGCUUCAGCCGCACGCUGCCCCCCGCAGCCGGGCCGGCACGGGCCAGGAAAGCAGCGUGCGGCUGCAGCCGGCUUGCCCCGUGCUGCUGGGGACGGGAGGAGGCCGGCCGGGUCGCACCAGCCAGCAGAGGCGGCGGCGGAGCCGUGUGGCGCUCGGCACUGAGCGGCGCAGGCAGGGCACAGUGCAGCUGCGCCCCCGCUGCCCCGGCCGGGCUCAGCCUGGCCCCGAGGCACACGGCUCUCCUCUGCCCACACGCGCCGCGUCCGCAACGUGGAGCUAAGGCGCGCCUUGAAGAUAUGUCACAACUCUAGGAGAAAAUGCCUUGGCGGGUUCAUGUUGGACAAGCCUGCUGCGAUGCCUUGUUCCCACGGGGCCCGGAUCUGCUCACUCUGCUCGUGGCGGACUCACAGGAGAGUCACUAGCAAGUCCAGGGAAGGCGCUCGCGACGCGGUACGUGUAUUGCGCGAGUGAGACCAGCUGCGAGGACAAAGCGAUUGUUACUUCAUGAACUGGCGAAUCGCGCCAUAAGUCUAGACGGGCAACCGGGUCAAAGUAAGGAUCGCCUGAUAACUGUGACUGUCUAGUGGUGAAAAGAAUCGGCCGGCCAUGAAGUCAGCGCUUGCAGAUAUGUAACAACUCUACGGCUGGUUUUGAUCUGGCUUUAACUUGAACAUGUAGCAGGGCCUGUCUCAAUCCCUCUGCUCUACACCGCAUUGAUGAGGCCUCUCCUGGAGCCCUGUGUCCUGUUUUGGGCCCUGCGCUUGAAGAAGGAUGUGGAGAGAUGGAAAAAGUCCAGCUCAGAGUCAUGAAUGAUCAGGAGCCUGGGGGAUGAGACUGAUGAGCUGGGAUCCUGGUUUCCUCUGUUUAAAAAUCGCAAGUUCUCUGAUUAAAAUCCCCCAAAUCUGUCCCUCACCACCCACAGCCCCCUGGACCAUGCUGGUGUCCUCACCCCCCACCCACAGCGCCCCUUACCCCGCAGGCCUGCUGGAGGGGGCCCACAGCUGGCAGGUGCACAGCCCUUGCCCCCCGCAGCAGUGCCCUAGCCCCGGGGGCUGCGUGCGGGAGGCAGUGCCUGCUGCGCCAGGGCAGAGCAGAGCUUGGAGCCUGCCUCCCCCUCCCCUGCGGGCAGCAUGGCCAGAGCGAAGCCCGUGGGCGGGGGGGAAGGGGGUGCUGGCUACAAAUGACCGACUCCCAGGAUCCUUAAAAUUCUGGCUUAUGAGAUGGAAUGUGCAAAACUGAGAGAGUUAAAACCCAUGAAUGCAAACCUUCAAAUUAUGAGGGGCACUGUCUCUCAAAUACCCUCCUCCCCACCCCCAGUCAGGGAUGAUGCAGCCUUGAGCAGGGGGCUGGACUACAUGUGCCCUUGCGUGGUCCCUUCCAGCCCUGCUUUGCUGUGAUCUAGUGCCAAGCCAGGGGUCUGUCCAGGCCUCUCUCUCACUGAGGACAUUACCACCAGCUGCAGAUACUAACUCUG